GCUGGAUGCCAGACUGAGCUUGUGAUUCACAUUUUGCUGUACAAAUGUCUUGAACCAAAACUGCAGGGGUCUCCAUUAAGGAAAGAUCGUAUCAAAAAAUAGUUUUGAAAAUGGGAGAAGCCAAAGGCCUGGGAUCCUAAGUCCUAUGACAAUGGAGGAAGAGGUCCGCCAAGACCUAUGACAUGACUUCCGUCUUUAACAACUUCUGUCUAUUGCCACAAUAAAGGUUAAAGAAUUUUACCUAGUUUAUGAGAAAACCAU